CCAUGAAUAUUCUUGCUGUUCUGAUUUUGUAACAAUCUGGGCAGGUAAACAUUCACUAAAUUAAGACCACGUAUGUGGGACACCUGGGUGGCUCAGCAGUUGAGCACC
ensembl:snoRNA SNORA72 Small nucleolar RNA SNORA72